rnacentral:rRNA from 1 species
UGGGGAAUAUUGCACAAUGGGCGAAAGCCUGAUGCAGCGACGCCGCGUGAGGGAUGACGGCCUUCGGGUUGUAAACCUCUUUCAGUAGGGACGAAGCGCAAGUGACGGUACCUGCAGAAGAAGCACCGGCUAACUACGUGCCAGCAGCCGCGGUAAUACGUAGGGCGCGAGCGUUGUCCGGAAUUACUGGGCGUAAAGAGCUCGUAGGCGGUUUGUCACGUCGUCUGUGAAAUCCUAGGGCUUAACCCUGGACGUGCAGGCGAUACGGGCUGACUUGAGUACUAGAGGGGAGACUGGAAUUUCUGGUGUAGCGGUGGAAUGCACAGAUAUCAGGAAGAACACCGAGGGCGAAGGCAGGUCUCUGGGUAGUAACUGACGCUGAGGAGCGAAAGCAUGGGUAGCGAACAGG